rnacentral:lncRNA from 13 species
UUUUUACAGAGAGAAGGGAUUGAAAUUUUCACUGGAGUGGAGUAACUGGAAUAAGCAAAGGCAAUCAUGCUAGGCAGCUUCACUGAAAGCAUUUUAUAUUUUAAGUUUCAGACAUAAUCCCUCAAAACCAAGUGGAACCUUUUCAAGGAGCUGGCAGAUGCAAGCCUGGUGUUCAUCUUCUUUCUGAAGAGGAGAACAUGAAAUCCCCAUGAAGGAAUUCUGGGGUGACUCUGAGUUGGAUCUAACAGGGGUGAGAUGAAGACUCAAGCAGAGAAUCAGAACCCUGGAGCAUUAC